CAGGAACCGGCUUCGUCUGCCGCGCCCGCGUUUAAACAGACCGGAAGUGAGGGCGUCCGACUUCCGGCCGUUGAACUCUGCGAAACGUAAGGUCCGGGAUGGCGACCAAGCGGCUGGCACGGCAGCUUGGAUUAAUUAGGAGAAAGUCAGUUACACCAGCAAGUGGAAAUCCAGGAGGAAGCAGAUUCAGACAGCUGUAUGACUACUUAAUUGUUGUUGAUUUUGAGUCUACCUGCUGGAAUGACGGGAAGCACCACAGUAGCCCUGAAAUAAUUGAAUUUCCAGCAGUUUUGUUGAAUACAGCGACUGGAGAGAUAGAAUCUGAGUUUCAUGCUUACGUUCAGCCUCAAGAACAUCCAAUUCUUUCUGAAUUUUGCACAGAAUUGACAGGGAUAAAACAGUGCAGAGUUGCGAUAAAUGCUCAGUGCCUCAGAAGUUCAUUGUUGAGCUCAGAUUUGCGGCUCUCUUAUCAGGUUCAAGUUGAUGAAGGAGUCCCCCUGAAGAUCUGCUUAUCUCAGUUCUGUAAAUGGAUUCAUAAGCUUCAGCAGCAGAAGAAAAUCAGUUUCGCUACUGGGGACUCAGAGCCUUCUACUCCUGAAGUGAAGCCCUGUGCUUUUGUUACCUGGUCAGACUGGGACUUGGGCGUUUGUCUAGAGUAUGAGUGUAAAAGAAAGCAGCUAUUGAAACCUGUGUUCUUAAAUUCUUGGAUCGAUCUCAGAGCAACUUACAAGCUUUUUUAUAACAGAAAACCCAAAGGACUAAGUGGUGCCUUGCAGGAAGUGGGAAUAGAAUUUUCAGGACGAGAACAUUCUGGCUUAGAUGAUUCUCGGAACACUGCUCUUCUUGCUUGGAAAAUGAUCAGGGAUGGUUGCCUAAUGAAAAUUACCAGGUCCUUGAACAAGGUUCUCACUAAGAAGAAUCCCAAGAUUUUGGCCAGAAAUUUGGGUUUAGAUCAAGUUGAAGAAGCAUCUGCCUGCAACAUUAGCAUCCAGGAUCCCAGCAUAAACCAAAAGGAGCUCCAAAGUACAGGAAAUCCCCAGGAAAAUGCUCAAAUGAAUUCAGUUUGUGUGAAUUCCUGUAUAAAGGACCAAUUACAACUAAAAAGCAACAUGAAAGCAGAUCUUUACAAUAUCAAACAUAGCUUUCCUCUUUUCACUACCAGGUGCUCGACAUCUGUGCAACAACUGUGUGCUCCCACCUUGAAUCCAGCUCUCUAUAUACAGAAGCCAAGUAAAAGUGAGCAGCUUGCAUCAAGUGACCGCUCAAAGUCCUCAGCACUUGACUCCAACUUGGUGCUUGUGUCUACAACCAUCCCGUCUGUUAACCUUGUUUCUGAUGUAGAAAUGGGUCAUACUUUUGACUGUUUACCGAUGUUGGCUGAGUGGGAAGAUGUAGUUUUACUGCCAGCAUCUCAGGCUGAGCCAGACACAGACUGUAUGCCUCCUAUUAGUGACACAAAUGUGGAUACUUCAUUUAAUUCUGCAGAGAGGUCACUGGUUUCAGAACAACCAGAAACACUUAGUUAUGAAAACUUUGACGACCUUAAGGAAACUCCUCAAAAUUCUGAGACAUCUAAGUCUAUUGUGUAUAAGAGUCCUCACAGUACAGUCUAUAAUGUAAAGGGAGCCAAACACCCAGGUUCAGAUGCCUCUGCGUUUAAGUUACCCGAAUGCAAACCAUUUCCUUUCACCAGUGUUCAUGCCAAUGCAUCAUCACAUCCUUCAGUUUUGAGGAAACAACCUCUUCUUUCAGGUGGCACUAAAAGAAAUUCAUUUAGUCCUCCAGUGUUUCCACGAGCCAAAAAGCAGACCUUUGCUAUUCAUGAGGAAAAGUCAACGUCAUCUCUCUGCUCCCCAGGAACAACUUCUUGUAAAGUUCCUCCCUCUGUGUUAACAUCCACAGUUAAUCUACAAGAGCCUUGGAAGACUGGAAAGAUGACCCCCCCUUUAUGCAAGUGUGGCAGAAGAUCUAAGCGGCUUAUUGUUUCUAAUAAUGGGCCAAACCAUGGGAAAGCCUUCUAUUGUUGCCCUGUUGGGAAAUACCAAGAAGACAAAAAAAGCUGUAGUUAUUUUAAAUGGGAACAAACACUUCAGAAGGAAAGAACCAAUGGCAAAACUCUACCUCAUUCCUCAGGACUCACUUUCAGCUCUCCAGACACAAGCCACAUUCGUGACAGAAGUUUAAAUUUUCCUACUAAAAAUUCUUUACGACUCAGACCUUCAAUGAGAAAUUGAUAAACUCUUCUAAGCUGUCUUUUACUUCAGUAUAAGCUUUAUCUGACGUUCACACAGGAAAAAUAGCAAUAGGCUUUACAUUAUGUAGUCUCAGCAUAUCUGAGCACUGCAGCUACUCUGGAGCGGCUCAAACGAACAGAAGGGAAAUGGAUGCACUCUUGCCAAGUAGUUGUCUGUCAACUAUGGUCUGUUCAUGUGGCGAUCCUUGUUCCUAGAUGAGCAUUUGGGUAGUCAUAUAUUUCAUACAUUAACAUUUGCUGAAUUUAUCAAACUAUCCUAAAGAACUACAAGGAAAAACUAUUUUUAUAAACCAUAUUUAUUAGGUUAAAUUUAAUAACUAACCAUAGAAUAUGACAGCUGUCUCUUAUACUUUGACAUUGAAACAAAUUUCAAACUAUUUUUAAAUUACUUGAAUAAAAUUAUGACUAGUAAAAUUCCUACUCAACUUUUAGGUAAAACUUUUGGAAGAAUAUUUUGUUGAACUUAGGAGACUACUGGUUUGCACAAACUCUAAAACCAAGACUAUUAUAAAUACUAGAAACCUAAAGAAGAAAUUCCUUCUGGACUCCCUCAUAGGAGUGAUGGGCAAAUGUGUUGAUUUAUGCCUUCCUUCUGUUCUGUGACUAGAAAGUUUAUAUAAUCGCUUGCACAUCUGAAUCCAUGGCCUCGACCCAUUGACAAGCACAUUUGGCUCAGAAUAAACUGUAUAUUACUCUCUUUGGAGCAAGAGCUGUGCUUUUCUUCAACACAUGAGACCAGAAUUGCUGAGCUGUAAACGCUGUAACAGUAUCUUCUUUUCAGAGCAACAAUCAAGCAUUUAAAAUGGAAUCAGUACAUUUAAAGCAUUCAUUCUUCUGUUCUUUCUGAGAAUUUGCAAGGAGAAACCUGUCUACUCUCUCAGCUUACGGAAUAGCUAUCAACCCAAAGUUAAAGGCCCUCCUCUUCUUUAAAAACUCUAACCUUUGCAUUCAGAGCUCAAGACAUGGUCUAAUCUCCCCUCCCCUCUCCAGGUUUAGAGGAACCUGCUCUGGACACAGCAGCCAUCUACAAAAUGUCAGGAAGAACUCAAAGGAGAAAGAGAAAGAAGACACUGAACUGAACUGUACUAACUAGUGAGAGCUGCAGUUCUGGACAGGAACCUCCUCUGUGCUGCCUUACUUGCAAGAUGGAAGUUGAAUCAAAACGGGGCAAAUAGUGUGCAAAAACACAUGCUCCUUGGGUCCACGGAGAAAAAACACUACUCCAUGCAGACUUUGCCCAGCCUGUAUCUGACGUAUUCCACAUCACGUCAGAGGCUAUCAAAUCCAGCCAGAACCUGGAAUACAAAUAGCACCGUCUUAUAAAUUUGUUGAAUUGGUAGGAAUUACAUGCAUAUAAAUGUGUAUAAAGUUUAAAUAUAUAAAUUUACAAAAGUGUCUAAUUUGUUGGAAAACAAUUUUUUUAAAAGCCAGUCUACAAAUCAUUCUUUCUGCAGGUUGUGUACUGUAGGCACGGUUCUGGGAAAAUACCUUCCGUUGACAGACAGUCCUAAACCAAAACUGCUGUGGGUGUGUCCAAUCAUCUUCGGAGGCCCAGUCGUCCCACUGGUGAAGUAGAUGGCCAUCAACUCAUUGUGUUUUGUGUCCACACAGGUGUGGCUGUCACUGGCAUAUCUGCAAAGGACAAUCUACAGUGUUUUUUAUGAAUGACUGACCUCUGAGGAGGAUUUGAAAACCCAUCAUCUGCUUUGGGCCUUUUCUGCGUCUGAAUCAGUGACUUGGAUUCAGCCCCAAGAUAAAAGCUACCUCUGUUUCCAUCCUUUGACUUAUGAGAUAUGAGCAGCCACCUUCAAGAUUGUGCAUCUUCUAGAGACAGCUCUCAUCCAAAACUGAUCAUUGUGGGUACUCAAUUGUCACAGCCCUGAGGAUCCAUCCAAAGGCCAGAAUUCCCAGUGUGUUAGCCCAGAGCUUCAUACAUAGAAUACAUAGGGAAUACAUAGAAUUUCUUCCUCUGUCCAAUUCUUCACCCUUUCUAUCUUUCACAAGAGAACUCCUUAAUAAGCCAGUUAUACACCAUUCUCUUCCUCAGAGAAUGCUUUGUGUUGACUUAUUUAUUUUAUCUCAACCACACCCCUUCUUACCCAGAAGCUUGCACUGCCAUCUGUUAGUUCUGUAACAAUCACUGAAUAUUCUCCUUACUUACUGCUUUUCUUUUUGUUGAGCUCACUGAGUUGGAUAGUCUUUUCAUUACUGCCUUUCUUUGUAGGGCACUGUUCUAAAAUUAAGUGGACUCACUUCAUCAUCUCCUUGAGGUUCCCCCAGCCUUCUCUGGAGUGCUGAGACACAAUUAAUUUGGAGUGGAGAUUUUCACAUUUAGCUGCUACAAUAUCUACUGCUGGGGCCAAAGUAUCAUCAGUAAUAAUGCACUUUGAUUUUGAAGAUUGUAGCCUGUAGAGGAUGUCUUUCUGGGUCAGCUGAGUGGUUCCUGGAAUUAAAACUGUCCCUAAAGGAAUAGAAAAAUAAUGUUUAAAAGCAAGGUUAACUUCUAUUGUGAUAGGGUAGUGUAACUAAUAUAUUCACAUUCUAUGUGUCUCUGAAUGAGUUAUGAAUUAACCAGGGGAGAAAUCUGUUUGUCUUUCAUUGUCCUGACAAUGCCUUUCAAGGGGUCUCCAAGUCUGUGACUCUUUGCCCUAACAUGAGAGCAUCAAUGCUGGCUGUCUUGUAUUUGAAGUCUAUGACCCUUUCCCCUAAUGUGAGAGUAUUAAGACUGACUGACUCUCUUGUAUUUGAAGAUCACCCAUAACACUGAACUUGGAGGAAUUUUGGUUGAAAACUAGUAUGCAGCACUGGUGGUGUGCUUGAGCACCAGAUAUUAUUCUAUUUUGUGUAUUUUAACUCAUUUAGUCCCUGUCCAAACAUGCCUAGCAUGAGCAGCUUUCCAUGGCUUGCCUUCUAGCUCCCGAAUGUCAGUGAAACUACAGGACUCAGAGUACACAGCUGGAAUCCAGACCUGGACAUGUCACCACUCCAGUCCAGGGCCUCUUACAAUACACGAAUUGUUUGCUUUUUCCUGAGAUAUGUAUCAUUUCUGUGGUUCUACUCUUGCCUGUCAUAAAUUACAAAGUAAGGUAUAGUAUGUUGGUGUCCCAGAGCCAGACACCCGUAAACUUGGGCCUCAAAUAAAUCCUUUACCUCUGUGGUCCUCAGAUUCUGUUUCUAUAAAGUCAGAAUUAUAAAAUAUAUCCCAUAUAGAAUUAUUCCAGGGUUAAAUGAGUGAAUGCAUAUAAUGAGUUUAGAAUAAAACUUAAUGUUUUAGCUAUUAGCUCUGUUUUCAAAGAAUGAAUGGAUAUUUUGCCUGAGUUAAAGACAUGCUAACAUGGAAGGAGGAGAAAUCUCAUGAGUUCCCACUCCUAGACAAAGAAUUGUAGGGAACUAAUGACUGCAGAGAGACGGAGAAUUAGCCCCUCCAGGAAUGAGCACCCAAAUUAUUAUCUAAUACAAAGUGGUCACUCUGAAACUGUACCUUCACAAACACAAACAGGGAGUCAGCAGGUUGCAUUUCUAUGUUUGUGCAUCAUAUAUGUAACAGUAACAAAAGAAAAGGAAGCUAGCAACUCGAGUUGAGGUGUAUGAAGCAUUGGAGGGAGAGAAUAUGGGAGGGGCUGAAGGAAAGAAAUGGGGGAAGAAAUUAAUUAUGUAUUAAUUAAGAUAUAUGUGAUGACUGUUCUUGACUGACAACUUGAUCACAUCUGGAAUUAACUAAAACUCAAGUGACUGAAUACACCUGUGAGGGAGUUUUCUUGACUGAAUCAUGGAAAGACUGGCCCUAAAUAUGGAUCUUUUGAAGUGGGAGGAACCACCUUAAAUUUGGCUCAUACCUUCUAGUGGCAGCCUAGACAAAGGAUGAGGAAGAAGAAAGUGCUUGUUUUGUGCCUGCUUGCUGUCACUCUCCAGCAAGCCUUCUCUGGCAUUAGAGCCUACUUCUCUUGGAUUCCAGCACAUACUAAAGAUGAACAGAGACCUCCAGCCUCAUGGACUGGGCAACUACUGGUUUCUUGGACUUUCCAAUGCAAGCUGGGCAUUGUUGACAUAGUCAGACCAUAGUCAGACUUAUAAGCCAUUCUUGUAAGUCCUGUUUAUAUAUGAAUAGAGAUUCAUUCUAUCAGGUUUGUUUCUCUAGAGAAUCCUGGUUGUUACAAUGCAAUUCAAUUGCCAUUCAAUUGCCUCCCUUUACUGAAUUAAUAUGAAAGGUAUCUGAAAAUUGGCUCUGUUUUUCAGCAUAUAAUCUAUAUGUUUAUAUGAAAUAGAAUAGUUUAGCUAUCCUCUAAUGAAAGAGUGCCACUAAAUACUUUGGUAUAUUAGGACAAUCAGAACAUUAAUUCAGCAGAUAUUUUAUUGAACAUUUACUAUAAUUACUGUAGUUACAGAGAUAUGCUACUAUAGUAAUGGCCUUUUAAGAGCAUACCUAGCCUUAUGGGAUUUGCAGGUUAUAUAUAGGCAAAUACUGUGUCCAAAAUGUUUAAAUAGUAACACACACACACACACACACACACACACACACACACACACACACACAAAUGAUUUUAGGGUGCUGUGGUAGUUUGAAUGAAAAUUGUAAAAGUAACUUUUAUUCAUGUGAUGUAAUUAUGUAAUUAUCAUCCCGAGGCUUACUGCCCACCUGCUAACCUAGGCCUAGUCCUGGAAGCUUCUAGCCUCCCUACAAGCUAAUUUAGGCCCAAAAUGUUUUCAGUCUCUGAGACUUGCUGCUGAAUAAGCUCACCCUUUCUUGUUCUUUCUGAGCUCUGGCUGGUUCAACUCAACUGUUCUGGCUCAAACCCCUCUCCAAGAUGACUGACUCAAUCUGGCUUCUCUUGCCAUGUUUGGCCUCAGACUAACUCUGGAAAUCUGUUCUAAUUUUCUGGCUCCUUCCCAUUCUCUGGCUCAUUCAGUAUUCACCUGUGUCUUGCUUGUUUUCUCUCUACGACCUGCCCUGGUAAAAUUGCCUCCUUCUCUUUCUCCCUCUGCUCUGCUCACUCUUACAUUGCCUCUCUUUCCUCUGUCUUCUUGAGAGAGUUGGACAUGGUCUAUUCUGUCAAAUCUUUCUCUAAUUCAUCUCUUUGUCUGCCACUCAAUUAGACAUCACUUUUAUCUAUGAGUGCUUCCUUCACAAAUUAACUUUACCUAAAUUGUUUGGUAUUAAAGUUGUGUACUAAGGGUGUGUCUGUAUUUCAGCCAGAGGGAUUAAUGGCGUGUGAUAAUGGAUGAGCCUCACCACAACUAGAAACAGGUUUGUUUUUUUUUUUUUUCAGUAAAUAACACAGUCUCGGGGCUCACAGUGUGAUCAAAUAUCCUGCAACAGAAAAUGCCCCUAUAGGCCCACAUAUUUGAAUAUUUGGUUCUCAGUUGGUGGAAUAUUCGGGAAGGAUUAGGAGGUGUGGCUUUGUUGAAGGAGUUGGGGCCUUAUUAGAGGCAGUAUGUCACUGGGGGUGAGCUCUGAGGUUUCAAACAUGCCAGGUCCAGUCACGCCUGUUCUUUGCUUCCUACUAGUGGAUCAGAUGUAAGAUCUCAGCUACUGUUCCAGCAUCAUGCCUGCCUGCUUCCCACCAUAAUGAAAAUAAACUGAGCCUCUGGAAUUAUAA